rnacentral:lncRNA from 1 species
CCACGAAUAGCACAAAGGUCACACCGGGUCACAAAGGCCCGUAAGCAACGGAGACCGGAGACGCGCGCCCCCUACCGCUCGCGGGGAGCGCGCCGGAAGCGGCGGCACGUCCGAAAGGAGCGAAGUCUGCGGAGAGGUAGGCGGGCCGGGCCCUGCGCAGCCGGUAGGACGGGCCUUGGUCGUCGCACCGCCCCUCCUAGGCCGCGAUUCGCUAGGAAGACUCCUACGGCUGGGAGGCCAUUUUUGUGCUUGUGUUUACGCCUCCCGACCGCGGAACCAGGAUGUCUUCAACUGAUGUAA